rnacentral:rRNA from 1 species
AACUAACGCUGGCGGCGUGCCUAACACAUGCAAGUCGUACGAGAAAGUUGGCUUCGGCCGAUGAGUAAAGUGGCGCACGGGUGAGUAAUGCGUGGAUAAUCUGCCCUUUAGUUGGGAAUAACGUACCGAAAGGUGCGCUAAUACCUGAUAAUACUGCAUAACUACUGUUGUGUAGUCAAAGAAGGCCUCUGUUUACAAGCUUUUGCUGAAGGAUGAGUCCGCGUACCAUUAGCUGGUUGGUGGGGUAAUGGCCUACCAAGGCUACGAUGGUUAGCUGGUCUGAGAGGAUGAUCAGCCACACUGGAACUGAGACACGGUCCAGACUCCUACGGGAGGCAGCAGUGAGGGAAUAUUGCGCGAAUGGGGGCAACCCUGACGCAGCAACGCCGCGUGAGUGAGGAAGGUUUUCGGACCGUAAAGCUCUGUCGAGCGGGAAGAAAUGUAUCAUGGCUAAUAUCCAUGAUACUUGACGGUACCGCUAAAGG